AUGAACGCUGGCGGCGUGCCUAAUCCCUGCAAGUCGAGCGAACAGACGAGGAGCUUGCUCCUCUGACGUUAGCGGCGGACGGGUGAGUAACACGUGGAUAACCUACCUAUAAGACUGGGAUAACUUCGGGAAACCGGAGCUAAUACCGGAUAAUAUAUUGAACCGCAUGGUUCAAUAGUGAAAGACGGUUUUGCUGUCACUUAUAGAUGGAUCCGCGCCGCAUUAGCUAGUUGGUAAGGUAACGGCUUACCAAGGCAACGAUGCGUAGCCGACCUGAGAGGGUGAUCGGCGACACUGGAACUGAGACACGCUCCAGACUCCUACGGGAGGCAGCAGUAGGGAAUCUUCCGCAAUGGGCGAAAGCCUGACGGAGCAACGCCGCGUGAGUGAUGAAGGUCUUCGGAUCGUAAAACUCUGUUAUUAGGGAAGAACAAAUGUGUAAGUAACUAUGCACGUCUUGACGGUACCUAAUCAGAAAGCCACGGCUAACUACGUG
rnacentral:rRNA from 1 species